CGGCGUGACAAGUUGGGCGUGAAAGCCCCGUGCUCAACGCGGGGAGGCCGCACAAUACUGUCAGGCUAGAGGGCACCAGAGGGGUGUGGAAUUCCCGGAGUAGCGGUAAAAUGCGCAGAUAUCGGGAGGAACACCGGUGGCGAAAGCGGCACCCUGGGGUGCGCCUGACGCUGAGAGACGACGGCUAGGGGAGCGAACAGGAUUAGAGACCCUGGUAGUCCUAGCCGUAAACGAUGGAUGCUAGGUGUAGGAGUGAAGAGCUUCUGUGCCGCAGCGAACGCGAUAAGCAACCCGCCUGGGGAGUACGGCCGCAAGGUUAAAACUCAAACGAAUUGACGGGGACCCGCACAAGCAGCGGAGCGUGUGGUUUAAUUCGAUGCUACACGAAGAACCUUACCUGGGAUUGACAUAUGGGUGGUAGUGAUCCGAAAGGAGAGCGACCCUUCGGGGAGCCUAUACAGGUGCUGCAUGGCUGUCGUCAGCUCGUGCCGUGAGGUGUCGGGUUAAGUCCCGUAACGAGCGCAACCCUUGUCCUUAGUUACAAGUGUCUAAGGGGACUGCCGGCGGGAAGCCGGAGGAAGGUGGGGAUGACGUCAAGUCAGCAUGGCCCUUAUAUCCAGGGCGACACACACGCUACAAUGGUCGGUACAGAGGGCAGCGAAGCCGCGAGGUGGAGCGAAACCCAGAAAGCCGGUCGUAGUUCGGAUUGCAGGCUGCAACUCGCCUGCAUGAAGUUGGAGUUGCUAGUAACCGCAGGUCAGCCAUACUGCGGUGAUACGUUCCCGGGUCUUGUACACACCGCCCGUCACGUCAUGGGAGUCUGUAACGCCUGAAGGCGGUAGCCUGACCACAAGGGAGGCGCUGUCGAGGGCGGGGCUGGCAACUGGGACGAAGUCGUGACAAG
rnacentral:rRNA from 1 species